UGUGCUCACAGUGGAAGCUGGCCUCAGAAAGCCCGAGGAUCGUCAUGGCUCCGGCAGUUACACAAAGAUGGGAAGAACAACAAGUGGACAGCCACGCAGAAAAUCUUGGAAUAACCCACUGAAUGAUUGGAUACAAUGAGAAGGGAGCUAAGAGGUGCCCAGACCGACAGCAGCCGGCCUCUGAAUGACCCAACAGCUGCCUACAGACAUCUUGGCAUCUUGGUCAAGAUCAACUGAAUGUCACCCAAAUCAGCAGAACCGGCCAUCUGAGCCCAUCCCAAAUGGCUGACCUACACAGCAGUGAGACAAAGAAAUGGUUUGGGGUUUAAAACAUUAAGUGUCAUCGUUAAGUUUUACUCAGAAAAAGCUGCCUGACUUAAUGUCUCUCUUCUCAGUCUUAGCACUGUAAUUUUUAUCACCAUAAAACCUUUUUAAUGCUAUUCUCUUUUCUUA